CCGCCAGAGAACUACUAGUGAAAAACUUUAAACUCAAAGGACUUGGCGGUGUCCCAUUUCGGCCUAGAGGAGCCUGUCCUAUAAUCGACACCCCCCGUUCCACCCAACCUCCACUUGCACAUUCAGCCUAUAUACCGCCGUCGACAGUCUACCCCAUGAGGGUCUAUUAGUAGACACAAAAGCAAUAACUCGCUAACACGUCAGGUCAAGGUGUAGCAAAUGUUGAGGAAGAGAUUGGCUACAUUUUUUAUUUUAAAACAAACGAAAUGCAACAUGAAACAUUGCACGAAGGCGAAUUUAGCAGUAAAAUGAACAAGAGAGUUCAUUUUAACACCGCUCUGGGACGCGCACACACCGCCCG
rnacentral:rRNA from 1 species